AAAAAAUCGUUGCGUAUUUUUUACGCCAGUUAGUACAAAUGAUGCCAUAUGGUAUCUGUGUUACUUGUUUGCUAUACCAUAGCAGACUGCUUUAUUGGUAGUUCAAUUAUAAUAGUAAAUACAUCUUAUGAAACUUAAACCUGCAGAGUCGCCAUAUAAUACAUAAAACAUCUCUUUUAAGAUAACAUACCCUACAAGACGGCGAUAGCCAAUUCACCACUACAUUUACAACUUUUCAGAUGCCUACCUACACAGUCACAUUUGGUUUUAAAGGAAUUUCCUAAAGUUAGAACAGUAUGUUUUAUGAGGAUACGAAACGCAUGUGCUAGAGCGAACAAGCGAUAGGCACUGCAAGCAAAGCUAAACUUGACAUUUUGAUCAUAGCAGCAUGAAAAUUAUACGUCACUAUUAUAAUUUCUUUUGAACGUUUGCGAACAUUGGCGCAAAAGGAAUACGCUAGCAAUUUUAAAUAGAAACUCCGCUGGAAAUCUCUUCAAGAGAUCUGUGGCGGAAAACAAUUUGGACAGCAAUUUAAAGUGAGUUUAUAAUAGAAAUUUAAAGCAGUGAAUUUUAGAAGAAUUUAUAGCCUGUUCCCUUACUCCAGGAUUAGUCAGAAAUAGGAAGUGGGCCCAGUACAUACACACAAGGCAACUUCAGUACUAUCUUCCGGACUAAAUGACUAAAUCCUGGAAUACUGGAACAGGUUAUUUAAGUGAAGUGAAAUUAGAAGUGUACAAUGCAUGUACACAUUUAACUAUGGCCAAGGAUUCUCUUAUUUCGAUUAAUCGAUCUGGCCAUAGUUCCACAAUUUUAAUACAUAUGUACAUGUAUGUUGGACGUACAUAAGGCAUCGCACAAAAGUGUAAAAUUUUUGGAAGGCUAAUUAUUUAAAAGAAAUUAUAACGAACAGAAAGGCAAUUAAAUUACCUUUCUCUUAAUAAGCAUUAACAUCAAUAAUUCAAUAAGAAAGGCAUUUAAAUUACCUUUCUCUUAAUACGCAUUAACAUCAAUAAUUUUUAAAUAAUUUCUCAAAAUAAAGCCUUGGCUAACAACUUCGUAAAAUUAUGUACAUGUAUGUUAAACGUACAUAAGGCAUCACACAAAAGUGUAACAUUUUUUGA